rnacentral:rRNA from 1 species
AUUGAACGCUGGCGGCAGGCCUAACACAUGCAAGUCGAACGGUAACAGGAAGAACCUUGCUUCUUUGCUGACGAGUGGCGGACGGGUGAGUAAUGUCUGGGAAACUGCCUGAUGGAGGGGGAUAACUACUGGAAACGGUAGCUAAUACCGCAUAACGUCGCAAGACCAAAGAGGGGGACCUUCGGGCCUCUUUCCAUCGGAUGUGCCCAGAUCGGAUUAGCUAGUAGGUGGGGUAACGGCUUACCUAGGCGACGAUCCCUAGCUGGUCUGAGAGGAUGACCAGCCACACUGGAACUGAGACACGGUCCAGACUCCUACGGGAGGCAGCAGUGGGGAAUAUUGCACAAUGGGCGAAAGCCUGAUGCAGCCACGCCGCGUGUAUGAAGAAGGCCUUCGGGUUGUAAAGUACUGUCAGCGGGGAGGAAGAGAGUAAAGUUAAUCCCUUCGCUCAUUGACGUUACCCGAAGAAGAAGCACCGGCUAACUACGUG